AGCCCUGUAGCCCAAUUGGCAGAGGCACACGACUCAAACUCGUGCAAGUGUCGGUUCGAAUCCGACCAGGGUUA
rnacentral:tRNA from 1 species